rnacentral:rRNA from 1 species
GACGAACGCUGGCGGCGUGCUUAACACAUGCAAGUCGAACGGAAAGGCCCUGCUUUUGUGGGGUGCUCGAGUGGCGAACGGGUGAGUAACACGUGAGUAACCUGCCCUUGACUUUGGGAUAACUUCAGGAAACUGGGGCUAAUACCGGAUAGGAGCUCCUGCUGCAUGGGGGGGGUUGGAAAGUUUCGGCGGUUGGGGCUGGAUGGGCGGCUUAUCAGCUUGUUGGUGGGGUAGUUGCGUACCAAGGCUUCGACGGGUAGCCGGCCUGAGAGGGGGACCGGCCACAAUGGGACUGAGAGACGGCGCAGACUCCUACGGGAGGCAGCAGUGGGGAGUAUUGCACAAUGGGCGGAAGCCUGAUGCAGCAACGCCGCGUGCGGGAUGACCGCUUUCAGGGUGUAAACCGCUUUCGCCGGUGACGAAGCGUGAGUGACAGUAAUAGGUAAAGAAGCACCGGCUAACUACGUG